rnacentral:rRNA from 1 species
AUUGAACGCUGGCGGCAUGCCUUACACAUGCAAGUCGAACGGUAACAGGUCUUCGGAUGCUGACGAGUGGCGAACGGGUGAGCAAUGCAUCGGAACGUGCCCAGUAGUGGGGGAUAGCCCGGCGAAAGCCGGAUUAAUACCGCAUACGACCUGAGGGUGAAAGGGGGGGAUCGCAAGACCUCUCGCUAUUGGAGCGGCCGAUGUCAGAUUAGCUAGUUGGUGGGGUAAAGGCCUACCAAGGCAACGAUCUGUAGUUGGUCUGAGAGGACGACCAGCCACACUGGGACUGAGACACGGCCCAGACUCCUACGGGAGGCAGCAGUGGGGAAUUUUGGACAAUGGGCGCAAGCCUGAUCCAGCAAUGCCGCGUGCAGGAAGAAGGCCUUCGGGUUGUAAACUGCUUCUGUCAGGAAAGAAAUCUUCUGGGUUAAUACCUCGGGAGGAUGACGGUACCUGAAGAAUAAGCACCGGCUAACUACGUGCCAGCCGCCGCAGUAAUAC